UUGGUAGCAGUUCAGUGGCUAAGACAUUAGACUUCUGAUCAAAAUAUUGUGAGUUCAAAUCCUAUCCACUGCUAAG